rnacentral:rRNA from 1 species
AACGAACGCUGGCGGCAUGCCUAACACAUGCAAGUCGAACGAGACCUUCGGGUCUAGUGGCGCACGGGUGCGUAACGCGUGGGAACCUGCCCUUAGGUUCGGAAUAACUCCCCGAAAGGGGUGCUAAUACCAUAAUGUCUUCGGACCAAAGAUUUAUCGCCUUUGGAUGGGCCCGCGUUGGAUUAGCUAGUUGGUAGGGUAAAAGCCUACCAAGGCGACGAUCCAUAGCUGGUCUGAGAGGAUGAUCAGCCACACUGGGACUGAGACACGGCCCAGACUCCUACGGGAGGCAGCAGUGGGGAAUAUUGGACAAUGGGCGAAAGCCUGAUCCAGCAAUGCCGCGUGAGUGAUGAAGGCCUUAGGGUUGUAAAGCUCUUUUACCCGGGAUGAUAAUGACAGUACCGGGAGAAUAAGCUCCGGCUAACUCCGUG